rnacentral:rRNA from 1 species
UACGUAGGGUGCGAGCGUUGUCCGGAAUUAUUGGGCGUAAAGGGCUCGUAGGCGGUUUGUCACGUCGGGAGUGAAAACUCAGGGCUUAACCCUGAGCCUGCUUCCGAUACGGGCAGACUAGAGGUAUGCAGGGGAGAAUGGAAUUCCUGGUGUAGCGGUGAAAUGCGCAGAUAUCAGGAGGAACACCGGUGGCGAAGGCGGUUCUCUGGGCCCUACCUGACGCUGAGACGCGAAAGCGUGGGGAGCGAACCGG